GAUGAACGCUGGCGGCGUGCCUAAUACAUGCAAGUCGAGCGAACAGACGAGGAGCUUGCUCCUCUGACGUUUGCGGCGGGCGGGAGUGUAACACGUGGAUAAUCUACCUAUAAGACUGGUAUAUCUUCGGGACACCGGCUCUAAUAGCGUAUAAUAUAUUGAAGCGUGUGGUUGAAUAGUGAGAUUCGGCUUUGCUGUCACGUAUCGAUGGUUCCGCGCCUCAUUAGAUAGUUGGUAAGGUAACGGCUUACCAAGGCAACGAUGCGUAGCCGAACUGGGGGGGGGAUAGCCCACCCGGGAAGUUGGACACGCACCAGACUCCUACGGGAGGCACCAGAAGGGAACCUUAGGCAAUGGGGGAAAGCCUGACGGAGCAACCCCGGGUGUGUGAUAAAGGUCUUCGGUUCGUAAAAACCUGUUAUUAGGGAAAAACAGCUGUGUAAGGAACCAUGCACGUCGUGACGGUAACUAAUCAGAAAGCCACGGCUAACUACGUG
rnacentral:rRNA from 1 species